rnacentral:rRNA from 1 species
AUGGUAGAGAUAGACUGGGAGAGUAGCAACACCAUCUUUCUCCUUCUCCUCAACGACACAGCCAACUUCACCAGCGAGAAGAACGCGGCGCCGAACGCAAAGUCGGUGUGCGGCUACGAGAUCAUAGAGGGCAUCAAGACUCGGGUCGAGGCCUCCUGCAACGCCACCGUCUCCUGCGAAGACGUCCUGGCCCUCGCCGCCCGUGAUGCCGUCACCCUGAUACGCCGGUGUCAAGGCUCAACUAUGUUUUUCUUGUAUAUGGCUACGCCAUGCUCUCUGGACUUCGACUAA